rnacentral:rRNA from 1 species
GAACGCUUCUUUCCUCCCGAGUGCUUGCACUCAACUGGAAAGAGGAGUGGCGGACGGGUGAGUAACACGUGGGUAACCUACCCAUCAGAGGGGGAUAACACUUGGAAACAGGUGCUAAUACCGCAUAACAGUUUAUGCCGCAUGGCAUAAGAGUGAAAGGCGCUUUCGGGUGUCGCUGAUGGAUGGACCCGCGGUGCAUUAGCUAGUUGGUGAGGUAACGGCUCACCAAGGCCACGAUGCAUAGCCGACCUGAGAGGGUGAUCGGCCACACUGGGACUGAGACACGGCCCAGACUCCUACGGGAGGCAGCAGUAGGGAAUCUUCGGCAAUGGACGAAAGUCUGACCGAGCAACGCCGCGUGAGUGAAGAAGGUUUUCGGAUCGUAAAACUCUGUUGUUAGAGAAGAACAAGGACGUUAGUAACUGAACGUCCCCUGACGGUAUCUAACCAGAAAGCCACGGCUAACUACGUGCCAGCAGCCGCGGUAAUACGUAGGUGGCAAGCGUUGUCCGGAUUUAUUGGGCGUAAAGCGAGCGCAGGCGGUUUCUUAAGUCUGAUGUGAAAGCCCCCGGCUCAACCGGGGAGGGUCAUUGGAAACUGGGAGACUUGAGUGCAGAAGAGGAGAGUGGAAUUCCAUGUGUAGCGGUGAAAUGCGUAGAUAUAUGGAGGAACACCAGUGGCGAAGGCGGCUCUCUGGUCU